rnacentral:lncRNA from 1 species
UGUACAAAAAUGCUACUAGAUGCAGAUUUCAUACUUCCUAGGACUGUAUUGAACCUUAGGCUCUGAUACCAAGUUUGUAAUGCCCUAAAUCAAGUACCCGAAAUGCUACACGGUUCUCAUAACUCCAAAGUACCACAAGCUAACCCAUGAUUAAUAUAUGUACCUGAACACUGUAAAAUAUAUUGUAUAAUGUGGAAAUAAAGGCUGAAAGGCCAUAAGGUUCAAAACUAUAACAUAACUAAUAAAACAUAACAUCUGGAUGGGGUAUGAAAUACCUAAAAAUCUUAAAUAAACUAUCUAAACAUAGUAGU